rnacentral:rRNA from 1 species
UACGUAGGGUCCGAGCGUUGUCCGGAUUUAUUGGGCGUAAAGAGCUCGUAGGCGGUUCCGUAAGUCGGAUGUGAAAACUCGGGGCUCAACCCCGAGACGCCAUCCGAUACUGCGGUGACUUGAGUCUGGUAGGGGAACACGGAAUUCCUGGUGUAGCGGUGAAAUGCGCAGAUAUCAGGAGGAACACCCGUGGCGAAAGCGGCGCGCUGGACCACUACUGACGCUGAGGAACGAAAGCUAGGGGAGCAAACAGG